rnacentral:rRNA from 1 species
ACGUACGUAACGUAACGUAACGGUACGUACGUACGUACGUACGUACGUACGUACGUACGUACGUACGUACGUACGUACGUACUACUACUAUNUCGGCCUGGGANCUGGNGUUNAUUUUGACCCAUCGNUACCUANGANCAAUUUCUGGGGGUCNGCAGCCGAUCNGCUNACCUACUACCUUCCCGUGUUAGUCGUUCCGUCGCCUUAACCGACGACGUAGUCGUACGUUGGUCGUACGGUCGGUCGCGGACGGCCGUCCGCCUCGCGCGUGUUCGCGUCUUCGCCGUCGGUUCUCGUGAUGUCUUGUUCGUUCGGCGAGCGGGAACGAACGACGUUUACCUUUAGUAAAAAUUAAAGUAGUGUUCUAAAGACAGGCCGUUUGCGUCGACGGUAAUAUUAGUCGAUGGAAGUAAUAAUAAAUAGGACGUGCGGUUCUUAUUUGUUGGUUUCUAGGCCGCCGUAAUGAUUAAGUAGGACAGGUCGGGGCAUCCGUAUUCAAUUGUCAGAGGUGAAAUUCUUGGAUU